rnacentral:rRNA from 1 species
UACGUAGGGCGCAAGCGUUAUCCGGAAUUAUUGGGCGUAAAGAGCUCGUAGGCGGUUUGUCGCGUCUGCCGUGAAAGUCCGGGGCUCAACUCCGGAUCUGCGGUGGGUACGGGCAGACUAGAGUGAUGUAGGGGAGACUGGAAUUCCUGGUGUAGCGGUGAAAUGCGCAGAUAUCAGGAGGAACACCGAUGGCGAAGGCAGAUCUCUGGGCCGUAACUGACGCUGAGGAGCGAAA